GCGGGCAUUUUAAUUGUUGAUAAUUAUCUGGUUUGUCUCGAUAUACGUGAAAGCCAGAUAUUUUGAUUAUUAUAUUACUUUUUAUCGAAAUACGUGCAAAUGGGACCCGCAGACCAAUGAUUGAGUUUAAAAGCCCCGUUUUGAUGAUUAUCUCGAAAACCGGUACCGAUUGGACCCCGCUUUAUUAAUAUAAAGCUAUUAAAUACGUAUUUUCAUGUCAUAUACGAUCCAAAGGGGUACCAAUUAUUCGUAAAUAUAAAUAGACCUUUCUAGAGCUUUAUUUCACCCGUAAAAUCAUUUCACCAGUUUCUUUUCACGAAUACCGAGAGAAACCGAGCGGUGUUCUUCGUGUUCUUCAUAAUCAAACGAAGAUUUGAAGGUGUUAUUGGAAUCCGAUGGAGGCGUAUGAAUAGUCAAAACGAAGCUAUCGACGCGUAGAAUCCAGUUUAAUCAAUCAUAACCGUGCAGAUUUCACGGGAUUGGACGAGACGUGUAUGACCGAAGACAUUCAAAAAGUCGAGUGGUAUUGCAAAGCGAAUAAGGCACGAAUCGAGGAAGCGAAGCUAUAUUGCGAAUAGAGUAUAGUCAGAGAUGGUCUAGAGAUUAUGAUAUGCAUAGAGUGUGAAAGUUGAAAGAUGAGAUUGAGAUGUGAGACUGGAGUCAGAUUUAAGAAAGGCUUAAAGAUGAGAUGAUUGAUUGAGAUUGUGAAUAAGGCUAAUGCUAGGCGAGGAGACAGAGUUGAGGAUCCAGUGGUCGAGGAGUGUUCAGGAAAGUUGAUGAGGUUGGUGCUAGCUCGAGUUGUGCUAUUGAGAUGCAGAUGUAAGUCAUAGCUGGAAUAGAUUGACAGUGAUUCUUCUUAUCGAAGAUGAUCUGAUUUGGUAAGAGAUGUUGUAUAAUGAUUAGUGGUGGAUUCCAAUUUCAAUACUAUAACCUGGAUGC